CCACACAGAGCGGGGACAGCGCAGGGUGGUCGGGUGGUGGUGACACCGGUGGUGCCGUGGUGACACCGAUGGUGAUAUCCUGGUGACACCAGUGGUGACAUCAUGGUGACACCCAUUGAGGUCUCCUGGUGACACCAAUGGUGGUGCGGUGCCGUGGUCACAGCAGUGGUGCUGUCACAGUCGUGGUGACACAAUGGUGACCAUCGUGGUGACACACCGACACCUCUGCUGCCACCUCACACCACUGACACCAACACUCACCAUAGAGGUGUCACACGGACACUCCUGGUGCCACCUCACACCAGUGACACUCCUGGUGGCACCUCACACCACUGUGACACCAACAUUCACCAUGGUGGUGUCACACCGACACCUCUGCUGCCACCUCACACCACUGUGACACCAACACUCACCAUAGAGGUGUCACAUUGACACUCCUGGUGCCACCUCACACCACUGUGACACCAACACUGUCACCACGGUGGUGUCACACUGACACUCCUGGUGCCACCUCACACCACCGUGACACCAACACGGAUAUGGUGGUGUCACGUUGACACUCGUGGUGCCACCUCACACCACUGUGACACCAACACUCACCAUAGAGGUGUCACACCGACACCCCUGGUGCCACCUCACACCACUGUGACACCAACACUCACCAUGGUGGUGUCACAUUGACACUCCUGGUGCCACCUCACACCACUGUGACACCAACACUCACCAUGGUGGUGUCACAGUGACACUCCUGGUGCCACCUCACACCACUGUGACACCAACACUCACCAUGGUGGUGUCACACUGACCCUCUUGGUGCCACCUCACACCACUGUGACACCAACACUCACCAUGGUGGUGUCACAGUGACACUCCUGGUGCCACCUCACACCACUGACACUCCUGGUGCCACCUUUCACCACUGUGACACCAACACUCACCAUGGUGGUGUCACACCGACACCUCUACUGCCACCUCACACCACUGUGACACCAACACUCACCAUAGAGGUGUCACAGUGACACUCCUGGUGCCAUUUCACACCACUGUGACACCAACAUUCACCAUAGAGGUGUCACACCGACACCCCUGCUGCCACCUCACACCACUCUGACACCAACACUCACCAUGGUGGUGUCACACUGACCCUCUUGGUGCCACCUCACACCACUCUGACACCAACACUCACCAUUGAGGUGUCACACUGACACCCCUGGUGCCACCUCACACCACUGUGACACCAACACUCACCACGGUGGUGUCACACGGACACCCCUGGUGCACCUCACGCCAUUUACACUCACCAUAGAGGUGUCACAUUGACACCCCUGGUGCCACCUCACACCACUGACGCUCACCACAGUGGUGUCACACCGACACCUCUGCUGCCACCUCACACCAUUUACACUCACCAUAGAGUUGUCACACAGACACCCCUGGUGCCACCUCACACCACUGUGACACCAACACUCACCACGGUGGUGUCACACGGACACCCCUGGUGCACCUCACACCAUUUACACUCCCCAUUGAGGUGUCACACGGACACCCCUGGUGCUCCCCCCCC
ensembl:lncRNA